rnacentral:sRNA from 1 species
CUUCAGGUCAGCGUCAGGUGUCCAUUUGCCCAUAUCGUCGCACUGGAACAUAUUUUUUUCAAUUACUUUGGGUGCCAUGAAAUUGGAAAGAAGUUUCUCGCGUUGAUUUGCUUCUGCACUGCCCCCAUCAAUAGAAUGCGCGGUCAACAUCUUCGCGUCUAGGGAAGAGGGCGGUGGGUUCAAUUCCAUCAUUGAAUUUGAGGGGACGUGCAAGAGAUUUGAAGGCGACGAUCGAUUCAUUAGAAAGGCGGCCAAAGCGCAUCUCGUUGAGCAUAUCAACGAAUCCUUUAGAUUCACAGACAGAUGAAUCGUCUCAUCCCACAUUUCCGCUUCGAAUGCAAACUUGGGCAUACCUCCGUUCUUAGUCACAGGAGGUAAUUGAAAAAAGUCCCCCGUCACAAUGAUUUGUAUACCUCCCCAAGGUUUGCUAUUUUUGCGAAUAAGUUGCCCGAGUUUGCAAAAUUUGUCAAACAUAGCCCCAUCUACCAUAGACACUGGUAAAAGUCAACCAGCCGUAACAUCAACAUAUAAGAUAGUUCGGUGCAUACCUUCGU